rnacentral:rRNA from 1 species
CGGCGUGCCUAAUACAUGCAAGUCGAGCGAACGGACGAGAAGCUUGCUUCUCUGAUGUUAGCGGCGGACGGGUGAGUAACACGUGGAUAACCUACCUAUAAGACUGGGAUAACUUCGGGAAACCGGAGCUAAUACCGGAUAAUAUUUUGAACCGCAUGGUUCAAAAGUGAAAGACGGUCUUGCUGUCACUUAUAGAUGGAUCCGCGCUGCAUUAGCUAGUUGGUAAGGUAACGGCUUACCAAGGCAACGAUGCAUAGCCGACCUGAGAGGGUGAUCGGCCACACUGGAACUGAGACACGGUCCAGACUCCUACGGGAGGCAGCAGUAGGGAAUCUUCCGCAAUGGGCGAAAGCCUGACGGAGCAACGCCGCGUGAGUGAUGAAGGUCUUCGGAUCGUAAAACUCUGUUAUUAGGGAAGAACAUAUGUGUAAGUAACUGUGCACAUCUUGACGGUACCUAAUCAGAAAGCCACGGCUAACUACGUGCCAGCAGCCGCGGUAAUACGUAGGUGGCAAGCGUUAUCCGGAAUUAUUGGGCGUAAAGCGCGCGUAGGCGGUUUUUUAAGUCUGAUGUGAAAGCCCACGGCUCAACCGUGGAGGGUCAUUGGAAACUGGAAAACUUGAGUGCAGAAGAGGAAAGUGGAAUUCCAUGUGUAGCGGUGAAAUGCGCAGAGAUAUGGAGGAACACCAGUGGCGAAGGCGACUUUCUGGUCUGUAACUGACGCUGAUGUGCGAAAGCGUGGGGAUCAAACAGGAUUAGAUACCCUGGUAGUCCACGCCGUAAACGAUGAGUGCUAAGUGUUAGGGGGUUUCCGCCCCUUAGUGCUGCAGCUAACGCAUUAAGCACUCCGCCUGGGGAGUACGACCGCAAGGUUGAAACUCAAAGGAAUUGACGGGGACCCGCACAAGCGGUGGAGCAUGUGGUUUAAUUCGAAGCAACGCGAAGAACCUUACCAAAUCUUGACAUCCUU